UACGUAGGGUGCAAGCGUUGUCCGGAAUUAUUGGGCGUAAAGAGCUCGUAGGCGGUCUGUCGCGUCGGCUGUGAAAACCCGAGGCUCAACCUCGGGCCUGCAGUCGAUACGGGCAAACUAGAGUACUGCAGGGGAGACUGGAAUUCCUGGUGUAGCGGUGAAAUGCGCAGAUAUCAGGAGGAACACCCGUAGCGAAGGCGGCACUCUGGGCCGGAACUGACGCUGAGGAGCGAAAGCGUGGGGAGCGAACAGG
rnacentral:rRNA from 1 species